UACGUAGGUGGCAAGCGUUAUCCGGAAUUAUUGGGCGUAAAGCGCGCGCAGGCGGUUUCUUAAGUCUGAUGUGAAAGCCCACGGCUCAACCGUGGAGGGUCAUUGGAAACUGGGGAACUUGAGUGCAGAAGAGAAAAGCGGAAUUCCACGUGUAGCGGUGAAAUGCGUAGAGAUGUGGAGGAACACCAGUGGCGUAGGCGGCUUUUUGGUCUGUAACUGACGCUGAGGCGCGAAAGCGUGGGGAGCAAACAGG
rnacentral:rRNA from 1 species